rnacentral:lncRNA from 1 species
UUGUUUCAUAUUUGAGAUUCAAUGCAUUACAUUAGGUGCCUCAUUUUGUGUUUCAUUUUUAAUUUAUAAUAUUUUUUGUUUAUUUUUUCUUUAAUUUCAAUUUUUUAUGUUUUAAUUUAAUUUUAUGAUUAUUAAGUAGAGGUCGUUCCAUCAAAUUAGGGUGUGUGUGUCACAACCCAAAAUCAUUUAUUUUCUUUAUAAUUUUUAUUUAAGAUUUUUCAAGUUAUCUAAUUUUUUUUCAAAAUAUUUUAUAUGUUAAAUUUAUGAGUCUAGUCACGCCCCUAAUUAAAAGAAUGUCUUUAAACAAAUGUAUUUGAAAGAGCAAUUAAGCUUAAGAAUAUAAUUUAUUCA